rnacentral:rRNA from 1 species
AGUUUGAUCAUGGCUCAGAUUGAACGCUGGCGGCAUGCCUUACACAUGCAAGUCGAACGGCAGCGCGGGGCAACCUGGCGGCGAGUGGCGAACGGGUGAGUAAUAUAUCGGAACAUACCCUAGAGUGGGGGAUAACGUAGCGAAAGUUACGCUAAUACCGCAUACGAUCUAAGGAUGAAAGUGGGGGGAUCUUCGGACCUCAUGCUCAUGGAGUGGCCGAUAUCUGAUUAGCUAGUUGGUGAGGUAAAGGCUCACCAAGGCGACGAUCAGUAGCUGGUUUGAGAGAACGACCAGCCACACUGGAACUGAGACACGGUCCAGACUCCUACGGGAGGCAGCAGUGGGGAAUUUUGGACAAUGGGGGCAACCCUGAUCCAGCAAUGCCGCGUGAGUGAAGAAGGCCUUCGGGUUGUAAAGCUCUUUUGUCAGGGAAGAAACGGUGAGUUCUAAUACAGCUUGCUAAUGACGGUACCUGAAGAAUAAGCACCGGCUAACUACGUG